rnacentral:rRNA from 1 species
GACGAACGCUGGCGGCGUGCUUAACACAUGCCAGUCGAACGGAAAGGCCCUGCUUUUGUGGGGUGCUCGAGUGGCGAACGGGUGAGUAACACGUGAGUAACCUGCCCUUGACUUUGGGAUAACUUCAGGAAACUGGGGCUAAUACCGGAUAGGAGCUCCUGCUGCAUGGUGGGGGUUGGAAAGUUUCGGCGGUUGGGGAUGGACUCGCGGCUUAUCAGCUUGUUGGUGGGGUAGUGGCUUACCAAGGCUUUGACGGGUAGCCGGCCUGAGAGGGUGACCGGCCACAUUGGGACUGAGAGAGGGCCCAGACGCCUACGGGAGGCAGCAGUGGAGAAUAUUGCACAAUGGGCGGAAGCCUGAUGCAGCAACGCCGGGUGCGGGAUGACGGCCUUCGGGUUGUAAACCGCUUUCGCCUGUGACGAAGCGUGAGUGACGGUAAUGGGUAAAGAAGCACCGGCUAACUACGUG